ACAUCGAGUGUCCAGGAGGUCUAUCGUGAUAGUAGUAGGAGCGCAAUAAUCGUACUCGAUAAGAUGCUCGAGAUGAGAUAGUCGGCUGAUGGAACAUACAUGUUAUGCUCGUCUGGUAAUAGAGUUCUAGCAUUAUGUAGUACUGUCCCGGAUAGUUAGUACGUAGCCAAUGUGAACUUUCUUGCUAAAUUUUAGAUACUAUUUGGGUUAAACCAAUUAGUUCUUAUCAAUUAUAACGAUUAUCAAUAACAAUCAAUUCAGAACUGGCACGGACUGGGGAAUCCGACUGUCUAAUUAAAACAAAGCAUUGUGAUGGCCCUAGCGGGUGUUGACACAAUGUGAUUUCUGCCCAGUGCUCUGAAUGUCAAAGUGAAGAAAUUCAAGUAAGCGCGGGUCAACGGCGGGAGUAACUAUGACUCUCUUAAGGUAGCCAAAUGCCUCGUCAUCUAAUUAGUGACGCGCAUGAAUGGAUUAACGAGAUUCCUACUGUCCCUAUCUACUAUCUAGCGAAACCACAGCCAAGGGAACGGGCUUGGAAUAAUUAGCGGGGAAAGAAGACCCUUUUGAGCUUGACUCUAAUCUGGCAGUGUAAGGAGACAUAAGAGGUGUAGAAUAAGUGGGAGAUAUUAGACCUCGGUUUGGUAUCGUCAAUGAAAUACCACUACUCUUAUUGUUUCCUUACUUACUUGAUUAAAUGGAACGUGUAUCAUUUCCUAGCCAUUAUACGGAUAUAUUUAUUAUAUCUUAUGGUAUUGGGUUUUGAUGCAAGCUUCUUGAUCAAAGUAUCACGAGUUUGUUAUAUAAUCGCAAACAAAUUCUUUAAUAAAACGAUGCAUUUAUGUAUUUUUGAUUUGAAAAUUUGGUAUAACUCCAAUUACUCAGGUAUGAUCCAAUUCAAGGACAUUGCCAGGUAGGGAGUUUGACUGGGGCGGUACAUCUCUCAAAUAAUAACGGAGGUGUCCCAAGGCCAGCUCAGUGCGGACAGAAACCACACAUAGAGCAAAAGGGCAAAUGCUGACUUGAUCUCGGUGUUCAGUACACACAGGGACAGCAAAAGCUCGGCCUAUCGAUCCUUUUGGUUUAAAGAGUUUUAACAAGAGGGUA
rnacentral:ncRNA from 1 species